rnacentral:misc_RNA from 1 species
GAUGAAGAACGCAGCGAAAUGCGAUACGUAAUGUGAAUUGCAGAAUUCAGUGAAUCAUCGAAUCUUUGAACGCAUAUUGCGCUCUCUGGUAUUCCGGAGAGCAUGCUUGUUUGAGUAUCAGUAAACACCUCAACUCCCUUUUCUUUUUUGAAAUGGGAGCUGGACUUGAGUGAUCCCAACACUUUUCUCACUGGAAAGUGGCGGGUCACUUGAAAUGCAGGUGCAGCUGGACUUUUCUCUGAGCUAUAAGCAUAUCUAUUUAGUCUGCCUAAAAAACAGAUUAUUACCUUUGCUGCAGCUAACAUAAAGGAGAUGAGUUCUUGUGCUGACUGAUGCAGGAUUCACAGAGACAGCUUUGCGGCUGACUUUGUAAACUCGAUCUCAAAUCAAGUAAGACUACCCGCUGAACUUAAGCAUAUCAAUAAGCGGAGGA